GGGUACCAUUGCUAGAUGGUCACUUCGAUUGGUACAGAAAUUUAUUCCUGUGCUACCGACUUAGGUUUGGACCUAUGAGGUCACACACAUUAGAGUUCAUGAUCCGAUCAGAUGGUUGAUCAAUAAUUAAGAAUCGUUCUAAGGUUAAAUGAUCAAUACGAUUGACAUUUAACCCAGUGCAAGUGUUGCAGGAGGAUCGAUUAGCAAUUCGAUUGCUAAUUGGCUUAAUUUGAUUAAACCAAUGAGCUUAGAUUAAGUCUAAUUAAAUAUGAUUUAAUUAGAUUUGGUUUGGGCUUGAUUGGAUCAAGUCCAAUUGGUUUAUUGGAUAAGCCAAGUGCAAGGAAAAACUAGUCCUAGUUCAACUAGGACUUGGGUCAAUCUAAUUUCUAAUUU
rnacentral:lncRNA from 1 species